AACGAACGCUGGCGGCAUGCCUAACACAUGCAAGUCGAACGAGACCUUCGGGUCUAGUGGCGCACGGGUGCGUAACGCGUGGGAACCUGCCCUUAGGUUCGGAAUAACUCCCCGAAAGGGGUGCUAAUACCGGAUCAUGUCUUCUGCCCAAAGAUUUAUCGCCUUUGGUUGGGCCCGCGUUGGAUUAGCUAGUUGGUAGGGUAAAAGCCUACCAAGGCGACGAUCCAUAGCUGGUCUGAGAGGAUGAUCAGCCACACUGGGACUGAGACACGGCCCAGACUCCUACGGGAGGCAGCAGGGGGGAAUAUUGGACAAUGGGCGAAAGCCUGAUCCAGCAAGGCCGCGUGAGUGAUGAAGGCCUUAGGGUUGUAAAGCUCUUUUACCCGGGAUGAUAAUGACAGUACCGGGAGAAUAAGCUCCGGCUAACUCCGU
rnacentral:rRNA from 1 species